GUUUGUUAUGACUUUUUUAAAUGCAUUGUGUGACGCGUUUGACUAAGACAUUUGGUAGGCGCGUGCUUGAGAUCCAUCUGAUCUGCCAGGUCAAUUAAUGAACUGGAUCCAACGCCUCUCCUUUUUUUCUGAUUUUUCUAAUUUCCAUUUUAUUUCUUUUAUUUCCUUUUAUUUCAAAAAUUCAUAUCUCUUUUAUUAUUGGUCCAAAAUAUAUGGGACCAAUUGCAUUAUUUCUCUUUAAAUUUCUAGUUUCUAAAAAUGAUUUUUAAUAUUUUUUAUUUUAUCAUUUGCUAUUUUUUAAUAAUUUUCUCUUUUCUGGUUAUUUUUAAUUCAUUUUAAAUAGUUUUU
rnacentral:lncRNA from 1 species